rfam:Trachymyrmex septentrionalis contig15827, whole genome shotgun sequence.
GCCUCAGUAGUCGAGCUGGCUAAAACACUUUUCCUCGAAAGUUGAGGAGGUCCUAGGUUCGAAUCCUGACUGAGGUA